rnacentral:rRNA from 1 species
UAACCUGCCCAAGAGAUCGGGAUAACACCUGGAAACAGAUGCUAAUACCGGAUAACAACAGAUGAUGCCUAUCAACUGUUUAAAAGAUGGUUCUGCUAUCACUCUUGGAUGGACCUGCGGUGCAUUAGCUAGUUGGUAGGGUAACGGCCUACCAAGGCGAUGAUGCAUAGCCGAGUUGAGAGACUGAUCCGGCCACAGUUGGGACUGAGACACCGGACCCAAACUCCGUACGGGAGGCAGCAGCC